GCCCGGGUGGCGAAAUAGGUAGACGCAAGGGACUUAAAAUCCCUCGGUAGCAAUACCGUGCCGGUUCGAGUCCGGCCCCGGGCACCA
rnacentral:tRNA from 1 species